UUUCUAAUUUAUUAUUAAAUUACAUAACAAAGCUUCUUCUAUACAGUCAGAAAAUGCAUUUAGAUGAGAACAAAAAUUAAGUACAAAUACAAUAAAUCUGGUUCCAAGAAGCGAUUUUAAAAGCAAAAAAAAAUAAGAAAGUGCAUUUGGAAUAGAUUUUUAAAAAUCUGUAUUGGCAUUUUUCAUGAGGAAACAUCUUUCAUCAUGGUAAAGUGUGACUGGAAUUGAUUUCCCUCCUUCUCUAAGAGCUAAUAGGAUGGGAACAGAUGCAAAUACUCUCAUACUAAAGUGAGACGUUAGGUACAAAGAAAAUGAGAAAGAUCCCCUCAAGACAUGGCUCAGCUUUGUCCCAGCUUUUUAUCCAAUAAACAUCCUUCAGAGUCACUUAGUCCUUCCUUAUUUUCUUUUCCCAGAGAAGCUUAAGGAUAUGCAGGUUUAUAAAAGAAUGACAAGCUUGGUUUAUAAAGACCAUGAUGAAAAGCCCUGCAUCUGAGUAGAGACCAGGCUAAACAACCUCUGACCCAAAAGGAGAAUGGAGCGCAGUCAUUUUACUUUUCUGAGUGGAAUCCAUUUGUGCACUAGUUACCUUUGCCACAGACUUUGGUAUCAUCCUAGACAUGGCCAUUUAUCCUCCACAGCAGGUUAGAGAACUGGGUCAAUUUCUAAGAAAUCAUAUCUGGCUAAUGAUCAAACAUGAGGUAUUAGAAAACCAGAAAGGUUAGUCCAGUUCUUUAAAGUCCUUUUCAUCAGGUUGAGAUUAUUAACAGUGAAAUAGGAAAUCAAUGGUGGGAAUGCAAGUCCAAGGUGCCUCAGUUCCAUAGAAGCCAAAAGUCAUGACAUCAAAAGGCUCAAUAAGUACAUUUUCCUAGUCAGAUGUAUUUAGCAUCCAGUAGGAAAGAAUUAAAGUAAAUAUUAUUUGGUUUCAGGUAUAAAAAGUGCCCGCGUGAUGUCUCCUCUCUUCACUUGUCUUAAUUCUUAGAAUUUUACUUCCAUGCCUGAUCUGCAGUAGGGAAAAAGGAAUUCUCUAUACAAGUGAAUUUUGGUACAAAGGAGGGAGGAAUAGUGAAGAAGGAAAGCCCUUUUCUAACACUAGAAAAAUAAAGGGUGAGCAAUGCAGGUUACAGGAAAUCCUUCAGCAUCCUUAAAAACACUAAGAAGAACAUAGAGAGAGCCAGGACAGAUCAACUGAAGAACUUGGGAGAUCUGGGUUUGAACUUAGUCAAUUAAACAUUUUUAACUAAAGUUAUCAGCACACAUUAAAACAAAAUCUCAGAAGUAUAUUUUUGGGAAUUUUGUCCUUUGUGUUGCCACGGUCUCUCAUACUUCUUAGUGAAAACGAUAGUUCUGAAUAGUUACUAAAAUGAUCCCAAAGGAAAGAUCCAUUAUUAUAUAAGACAAUGGCCGAGGGAGAAUAAUUUCCCCUAAGAGGCAACUUCCUUCUGACCUCCCAGCUCUAACAAGCAACUUACAGUUGGCCCCUGAGCCUAGCAGCAGGUCUGUAAGGGCAGAAGGAAAGGGGAGGAAACCAGGAUGGUUAAAAAAAAAAAAAAAAAAAAAAGUUAAAUGGCACGAAACAAAGAGUUCAAAUCAGCUAUCAUGGGAUUCAAAUCCUCUUCUUGUAAAUGGCAUACUUCUAUUUCCUUAUUCCAGGGCCUGUGUCUGUGAAUGAAGGAACCGUAAGAGAUCAGGGUGUGAAAGUGGUGGCUGUCAAGAGUCCCCGGAGACAUUCCAUCAAUGGAAAGCAUACAGCAGCAACAGGAUGGUACAGACACCAAUAACACCGCCCAGGAUGAGGGAGUCUCGCCGCUUCCUAAGAUUGAUCCGCUGGAUCAGGCUGUUCACAGCAGGAAAACGAUCUUUGUUACAACUCAUCUACAUGUAUGGCUGUCUCCUUCCUUCUCCUUCUAAGCACCUGCCACUGACUUAAUUCUCCAAACUGGAAAAAGAAAAAGCAUGUCACUUACCAUGUUGAGGAAACUACUAAAGAACGUGACCCAGCAUAAUGGGGGAAUAAACUAAGAAUAUGGAAGACACUAAAUUCAAGAAACAGGAGAUCCAAUGAAGGAGGUUAUUUGAAGGCAACAGGAAAGGGCCCCCAGGACCAGGGCCGGGGAGCAGGCCUGGAGAACAACCAGGUUGGGGGAAACCCAGGGCCGGGCCAGCCCUCUCUCCUUCCCGGUCCUGGGCGUCGGGUGGAGCGGCACUUCUGCGCCCCGCACUCCGCCUGCCCCACCGCGCCACGGGAGGAGCUGCCAUUGCGAAGUGAUGCCACCAAGAAAUGAGAAAUACAAACUUUCUGUUCCACUUCCAGAAGGCAAGGUUCUGGAUGAUAUGGAAGGAAAGCAAUGGAUGCUGGGCAAAAUGACUGGCUCUGGAGGAUUUGGACUGAUAUAUUUAGCUUUUCCCGCAAAUAAACCAGAUAAAGAUGCAAGACAUGUAGUAAAAGUGGAAUAUCAAGAAAAUGGCCCUUUAUUUUCAGAACUUAAGAAUUCCUCUGUUUUAUGGAUCCAGUAUUACUGAAUUCAAGGGAGGAAGUUACAGAUUUAUGGUAAUGGAAAAGCUAGGAAUAGAUUUACCGAAGAUCUCAGACCAGAAUGGUACUUUUAAAAAGUCAACUGUCCUGCAGCUAGGUAUCCGAAUGUUCGAUGUACUGGAAUAUACACAUGAAAAUGAAUAUGUUCAUGGUGAUAUAAAAGCAGCAAAUCUAUUGUUAGGUUACAGAAAUCCUGAUCGGGUUUAUCUUGCAGAUUACGGACUUUGCUACAGAUAUUGUCCCAAUGGGAACCACAAAGAGUAUCAGGAAAAUCCUAGAAAAGGCCAUAAUAGGACAAUAUAGUUUACCAGCGUGGAUGCCCACAAGGGAGUAGAUUUGGUAAAGGUGCACAUAGGGAGAUUUAUUCCUGUUUUUCACCAGGCCCUUAUCAGAGUUUUAGAAGAUACCAUCUCUCAACAAUAAGGAAAUCUUUUCUGAAACUACAAAGUGUUAACUUGUGGAAAUCUCUCCUAGUCGCCUUUCAUAUAGCUUACUUAUUUAAACUCACUUUGAUGGUAUUGCAAACACAUUUGCAGGUAAAUUACAUACAUAGUCCUUUUACUGGAUAUUGAUUGUACUGCAUUCCAAGGCAGACUUAAUUCAACAAUUCCCUAACUAGUUAAAGUCAUAACCUAUGUCUUGUAUUCAUUUACCAUUAAUUAAACCUUAGCUGUUUAUUACACUGCAGUCCAAAACCAAUAGCCAACCCAGAAAGCCAUGGAAAAGGAAGUAGGAGGUCAAUACUGAAAAUAUAUGGUGCAGAGUCCCACUGAUGGUUGCUUUGUUCACAAUCAAUAUGGUCAAUGCAACUGUACUUUCUUAGUUGCUCUGUCAGCAAGACAAAAAGUAAAUUCUAAUGUUAUGCUAGUAAAAAAAAAAAUGGUGAUUAUUGAAAAAGUUUGCCUUUCAAAAUUAUAUUCCUUGUAACUUUAUUUAUAAAAGUAUUUUCAAAUAUGCUAAACCAUAUGAAUAAUUUAAAAACAGCUUUGAAAGGACCCCAUGUCACUAAAAGGCAAUUAGACAUUUGCACUUGUUAAUGGCUGUUGAACUGUUACCCUAAACUGAUACCUUCUGGCAAGUUGUAGUUGGUGCAAACAACCAUGUAUUAUUGCCUUUUCUAUUAAAAGGACCACUGACCAUGUAAAAGAAAAAAAAAGAGUCAAUAAAAUUUCACCUUGAUACCUACCAGAUUUUGAAAUAAAGGGAAAUAGUAAAAUAAAAAAACCUUAUAAUUACAUUUUUUUGUUUAACUAGCAAAAUAGCAGUAGCAGUGAUUCAAUGGUUCUCAAAUGUUCUUAUACUCGAAGUAUUCCAAAUUUUUAUACUCAUAAUUACCAGCCCUUAAGUAGGCCAGCUUUGAGUUGAAAAGCUUAAUUAAGGCAGCCUGGUCCAAAGAAGAUCAGGUAGAAACAGGAGGAAAUAAAAGGAAGAAAAAAAGGAAAAGGAUAAUAGGGAAACUUUAAGUAAAAAAUCCUUGGCAAGGGGCGCCCGGGUGGCUCAGUCGUUGGGCGUCUGCCUUCGGCUCAGGUCAUGAUCCCAGGGUCCUGGGAUCGAGCCCCGCGUCGGGCUCCCUGCUCAGCGGGAAGCCUGCUUCUC